rnacentral:sRNA from 1 species
CCUGCAGUGGUCCCACUAGAAUAAGAGGCUUCAUGGUAUCAUAGAUUCCGAAAUAGAGACCUCGAUAUAGAGUGAUACCCACAAUGGACACACUGAAACCUCGAUAUAAUCCACGAAUACCAUCAGUUUUAAGUGUCUUUUUGUAGACAUCAAGCAGCCCACUGAACUGACGUUUGCUUCCCUGUGAUUCAAUUGCAUCAGUAGCUAGCCUUGUCCGUGCAUAAUCCAG